rnacentral:rRNA from 1 species
GGAGGGUGCGAGCGUUAAUCGGAAUUACUGGGCGUAAAGGGUGCGUAGGUGGUUUGUUAAGUUAUCUGUAAAAUCCCUGGGCUCAACCUGGGCAUGCCAGAUAAAACUGAUGGACUCGAGUACGGGAGAGGGUAGUGGAAUUUCCGGUGUAGCGGUGAAAUGCGUAGAGAUCGGAAGGAACACCAGUGGCGAAGGCGGCUACCUGGCCUGAUACUGACACUGAGGCACGAAAGCGUGGGGAGCAAACAGGAUUAGAUACCCUGGUAGUCCACGCUGUAAACGAUGUCAACUAGCUGUUGGUUAUAUGAAUAUAAUUAGUGGCGCAGCAAACGCGAUAAGUUGACCGCCUGGGAGUACGGUCGCAAGAUUA